GAUGAACGCUAGCGGCAGGCCUAAUACAUGCAAGUCGAACGGUAGAUCGGGUAGCAAUACUUGAUUGAGAGUGACGUAAGGGUGCGUAACACGUAUGCAAUCUACCCUCAACAGGAGUAUAGCUCGGGGAAACUCGGAUUAACACUCCAUAACAUUACGAUGUGGCAUCACAUUGUGAUUAAAACUCCGGUGGUUGAGGAUGAGCAUGCGUCUGAUUAGUUAGUUGGAGGUGUAACGGACCCCCAAGACGAUGAUCAGUAGGGGAACUGAGAGGUUGAUCCCCCACACUGGCACUGAGAUACGGGCCAGACUCCUACGGGAGGCAGCAGUAGGGAAUAUUGGUCAAUGGGUGAGAGCCUGAACCAGCCAUGCCGCGUGCAGGAAGACGGCCUUCUGGGUUGUAAACUGCUUUUAUCUGGGGAUAAAAAACCCAUGCGUGGGACAUUGAAGGUACCAGAUGAAUAAGCACCGGCUAACUACGUGCCAG
rnacentral:rRNA from 1 species